rnacentral:rRNA from 1 species
CGACGGUGAGUAACACGUAUCCAACCUGCCGUCUACUCUUGACAGCCUUCUGAAAGGAAGAUUAAUACAAGAUGGCAUCAUGAGUCCGCAUGUUCACAUGAUUAAAGGUAUUCCGGUAGACGAUGGGGAUGCGUUCCAUUAGAUAGUAGGCGGGGUAACGGCCCACCUAGUCUUCGAUGGAUAGGGGUUCUGAGAGGAAGGUCCCCCACAUUGGAACUGAGACACGGUCCAA